CAAUUUUGCAAAAUAGUGUUUUUUAAAUGAAUCAAAUAAAAAAAAUAACAAGUGCUAUUUUAAGAAAAAAAACACUACAUUGCUUGAUAAAACCUUGAAAAUAUUUUUUUAACAUACAUUUGAUCUACUUGUCAUGAUUAAGAAUAUUUCAAAUAAAGUAUAUCAUUGCAUAUAAAAUUUCAUAUUUCAAAUAAAACAUUUUAUAUACUCAUUCAUAAUAAAACAUAUAUGUUUUAGAAAAUAUCAAAAAUUUUUCCCUUGGCUAAUCAUCCAGACAUAAUGUAAACAUGUCAUUCUUUGUCUGAUUACUUGGUGCCUAUAAAUUCCAACUUAGCCAGGAGAAUUCCCAUCAAACAUGUUUUUGAAUAGUUUAAACCAUACGAUUUAGCAUUUAUUCCUUUUGUUUUUUAUUUUUAAAUUAAGUUUUAGUAUUAAUAUUUGCAUUAAAAUAAACUAGUAAGGGUUUGGUAGACCUCCACUCAAGUGUUCUAGUAGUUACACUUGAACAUUUAGUUAUAUCGUCAAGAUCAUCUGUGACCAUAAUUCUCUAUAUAACCCAUUCCAGAGCAAUGUUCCCAACACCUCCCUUUGAAGUGUGGCCUAUUUGGUUGCUUGCCGGCAAGAAAAAGUGUGGACAAAAGAAAAGAUAAAAUAUAUUGAUCCACUGUACAGGCUGUUUUUCCUAUCCCCAGAUGUUGUGAGUCUUGGCGGGAAACAGCUGACAAUUAUCCCCUUCUCCAGAGAAUGGUCUAAACCUAAGAGGAAUCACCAUACCUCAUUACUCACAAUAGCCACAAUGUGAAAUCAGCCCAAGUGUACAUCAAUGAAUGAAUGAAUGAGUA
rnacentral:lncRNA from 13 species